GCUCCGUUAGCUUAGUCGGUAGAGCGUGGUGCUAAUAACGCCAAGGUCGCAGGUUCGAUCCCUGCACGGAGCA